rnacentral:tRNA from 3 species
GGAGCUGUAGAACAGUUGGAGUGUUCGUCUGCCUGUCACGCAGAAGGUCGCGGGUUCGAGUCCCGUCAGCUCCG